AAAAAAAAAGAAAAAAAAAAGAAAAAAAAAAGAAAAAAGCCAUACAAGAAAAUGCCUGAACCGAGAACAGAAAAAGAGGUUCGUGGUUUCUUAGAUAGAUUGAACUGUAUCUCACAGUUCAUAUCUCAUCUAACAGCCACGUGGGAACCCACUCAAGCUGUUGAGAAAAAAAGAUCAAACGGUCAGGUGAAAUAAUGAUUGCCAAGGGGCAUUUAGA
rnacentral:lncRNA from 1 species